rnacentral:rRNA from 1 species
UGUGAGCUCGAUGAGUAGGGCGGGACACGUGGUAUCCUGUCUGAAUAUGGGGGGACCAUCCUCCAAGGCUAAAUACUCCUGACUGACCGAUAGUGAACCAGUACCGUGAGGGAAAGGCGAAAAGAACCCCGGCGAGGGGAGUGAAAAAGAACCUGAAACCGUGUACGUACAAGCAGUGGGAGCCUCUUUUAUGGGGUGACUGCGUACCUUUUGUAUAAUGGGUCAGCGACUUAUAUUCUGUAGCAAGGUUAACCGAAUAGGGGAGCCGAAGGGAAACCGAGUCUUAACUGGGCGUUAAGUUGCAGGGUAUAGACCCGAAACCCGGUGAUCUAGCCAUGGGCAGGUUGAAGGUUGGGUAACACUAACUGGAGGACCGAACCGACUAAUGUUGAAAAAUUAGCGGAUGACUUGUGGCUGGGGGUGAAAGGCCAAUCAAACCGGGAGAUAGCUGGUUCUCCCCGAAAGCUAUUUAGGUAGCGCCUCGUGAACUCAUCUCCGGGGGUAGAGCACUGUUUCGGCAAGGGGGUCAUCCCGACUUACCAACCCGAUGCAAACUGCGAAUACCGGAGAAUGUUAUCACGGGAGACACACGGCGGGUGCUAACGUCCGUCGUGAAGAGGGAAACAACCCAGACCGCCAGCUAAGGUCCCAAAGUCAUGGUUAAGUGGGAAACGAUGUGGGAAGGCCCAGACAGCCAGGAUGUUGGCUUAGAAGCAGCCAUCAUUUAAAGAAAGCGUAAUAGCUCACUGGUCGAGUCGGCCUGCGCGGAAGAUGUAACGGGGCUAAACCAUGCACCGAAGCUGCGGCAGCGACGCUUAUGCGUUGUUGGGUAGGGGAGCGUUCUGUAAGCCUGCGAAGGUGUACUGUGAGGUAUGCUGGAGGUAUCAGAAGUGCGAAUGCUGACAUAAGUAACGAUAAAGCGGGUGAAAAGCCCGCUCGCCGGAAGACCAAGGGUUCCUGUCCAACGUUAAUCGGGGCAGGGUGAGUCGACCCCUAAGGCGAGGCCGAAAGGCGUAGUCGAUGGGAAACAGGUUAAUAUUCCUGUACUUGGUGUUACUGCGAAGGGGGGACGGAGAAGGCUAUGUUGGCCGGGCGACGGUUGUCCCGGUUUAAGCGUGUAGGCUGGUUUUCCAGGCAAAUCCGGAAAAUCAAGGCUGAGGCGUGAUGACGAGGCACUACGGUGCUGAAGCAACAAAUGCCCUGCUUCCAGGAAAAGCCUCUAAGCAUCAGGUAACAUCAAAUCGUACCCCAAACCGACACAGGUGGUCAGGUAGAGAAUACCAAGGCGCUUGAGAGAACUCGGGUGAAGGAACUAGGCAAAAUGGUGCCGUAACUUCGGGAGAAGGCACGCUGAUAUGUAGGUGAAGCGACUUGCUCGUGGAGCUGAAAUCAGUCGAAGAUACCAGCUGGCUGCAACUGUUUAUUAAAAACACAGCACUGUGCAAACACGAAAGUGGACGUAUACGGUGUGACGCCUGCCCGGUGCCGGAAGGUUAAUUGAUGGGGUUAGCGGUAACGCGAAGCUCUUGAUCGAAGCCCCGGUAAACGGCGGCCGUAACUAUAACGGUCCUAAGGUAGCGAAAUUCCUUGUCGGGUAAGUUCCGACCUGCACGAAUGGCGUAAUGAUGGCCAGGCUGUCUCCACCCGAGACUCAGUGAAAUUGAACUCGCUGUGAAGAUGCAGUGUACCCGCGGCAAGACGGAAAGACCCCGUGAACCUUUACUAUAGCUUGACACUGAACAUUGAGCCUUGAUGUGUAGGAUAGGUGGGAGGCUUUGAAGUGUGGACGCCAGUCUGCAUGGAGCCGACCUUGAAAUACCACCCUUUAAUGUUUGAUGUUCUAACGUUGGCCCCUGAUCGGGGUUGCGGACAGUGUCUGGUGGGUAGUUUGACUGGGGCGGUCUCCUCCUAAAGAGUAACGGAGGAGCACGAAGGUUGGCUAAUCCUGGUCGGACAUCAGGAGGUUAGUGCAAUGGCAUAAGCCAGCUUGACUGCGAGCGUGACGGCGCGAGCAGGUGCGAAAGCAGGUCAUAGUGAUCCGGUGGUUCUGAAUGGAAGGGCCAUCGCUCAACGGAUAAAAGGUACUCCGGGGAUAACAGGCUGAUACCGCCCAAGAGUUCAUAUCGACGGCGGUGUUUGGCACCUCGAUGUCGGCUCAUCACAUCCUGGGGCUGAAGUAGGUCCCAAGGGUAUGGCUGUUCGCCAUUUAAAGUGGUACGCGAGCUGGGUUUAGAACGUCGUGAGACAGUUCGGUCCCUAUCUGCCGUGGGCGCUGGAGAACUGAGGGGGGCUGCUCCUAGUACGAGAGGACCGGAGUGGACGCAUCACUGGUGUUCGGGUUGUCAUGCCAAUGGCACUGCCCGGUAGCUAAAUGCGGAAGAGAUAAGUGCUGAAAGCAUCUAAGCACGAAACUUGCCCCGAGAUGAGUUCU